AUCAUGGCUCAGAAUCAACGCUGGCGGCGUGCCUCAGACAUGCAAGUCGAACGAUUAAACUUUCCUUCGGGAAAGAUAUAAAGUGGCGCACGGGUGAGUAACACGUAAGUAAUCUACCUUCGAGUGGGGAAUAACGUCCGGAAACGGACGCUAAUACCGCAUAAUGCAGCGGCAUCGCAAGAUGACAGUUGUUAAAGGAUUUAUUCGCUUGAAGAGGAGCUUGCGGCAGAUUAGCUUGUUGGUAAGGUAACGGCUUACCAAGGCUACGAUCUGUAACCGGUCUAAGAGGACGGUCGGUCACACUGACACUGAAUAACGGGUCAGACUCCUACGGGAGGCAGCAGUCGGGAAUUUUGGGCAAUGGGCGAAAGCCUGACCCAGCAACGCCGCGUGAAGGAUGAAGUAUUUCGGUAUGUAAACUUCGAAAGAAUGGGAAGAAUCAAUGACGGUACCAUUUAUAAGGUCCGGCUAACUACGUGCCAGCAGCCGCGGUAAUACGUAGGGACCAAGCGUUGUUCGGAUUUACUGGGCGUAAAGGGCGCGUAGGCGGCCCUACAAGUCACUUGUGAAAUCUCCGGGCUUAACUCGGAACGGCCGAGUGAAACUGUGGAGCUAGAGUGUGGAAGGGGCAAUCGGAAUUCUUGGUGUAGCGGUGAAAUGCGUAGAUAUCAAGAGGAACACCUGAGGUGAAGACGGGUUGCUGGGCCAACACUGACGCUGAGGCGCGAAAGCCAG
rnacentral:rRNA from 1 species